GACUCGGUAGCGGACGGUCCGCAUCUGCAUAAUAUAUAGGCCUCCUUCGACGACUACAAUAUUCUGCAGAAGUCGCCUGUUCAACUCAGGCCCGAGUCA